UCAGAUUGCAGGCUGCAACCCGCCUGCAUGAAGUCGGAAUUGCUAGUAAUCGCGGAUCAGCAUGCCGCGGUGAAUACGCUCCCGGGCCUUGUACACACCGCCCGUCACACCAUGGGAGCCGGUAAUACCCGAAGUCAGUAGUCCAACCACGUGAGGACGCUGCCGAAGGUAGGAUUGGCGACUGGGGUGAAGUCGUAACAAGGUAGC
rnacentral:rRNA from 1 species